UACGAAGGGGGCUAGCGUUGUUCGGAAUUAUUGGGCGUAAAGAGCUCGUAGGCGGUCUGUCGCGUCUGCUGUGAAAACUCAGGGCUUAACCCUGAGCUUGCAGUGGGUACGGGCAGACUAGAGUGCGGUAGGGGAGACUGGAAUUCCUGGUGUAGCGGUGAAAUGCGCAGAUAUCAGGAGGAACACCGGUGGCGAAGGCGCCACUCUGGGCCGAAACUGACGCUGAGGAGCGAAAGCGUGGGUAGCGAACAGG
rnacentral:rRNA from 1 species